CCUACGGGUGGCAGCAGUGGGGAAUAUUGCGCAAUGGGCGCAACCCUGACCCAGCAACGCCGCGUGAAUGAAGAAGGCCUUCGGGUUGUAAACUUCUUUUGUCAGGGACGAAGCAAGUGACGGUACCUGACUAAUAAGCCACGGCUAACUACGUGCCAGCCGCCGCGGUAAUACGUAGGUGGCGAGCGUUAUCCGGAAUUACUGGGUGUAAAGGGCGUGUAGGCGGGACUGCAAGUAAGAUGUGAAAACCACGGGCUCAACCUGGGAACUGCAUUUGAAACUGUAGUGCUUGAGUACUGGAGAGGCAGACGGAAUUCCUAGUGUAGCGGUGAAAUGCGUAGAUAUGAGGAGGAACACCAGUGGCGAAGGCGGUCUGCUGGAAAGCAACUGACGCUGAGGUGCGAAAGCGUGGGGAGCAAACAGGAUUAGAUACCCUUGUAGUC
rnacentral:rRNA from 1 species